rnacentral:lncRNA from 1 species
GUGUGUGUGUUUAGUAGAAAGACAAUCCUUUUUUCUUCCAGUCAAUUUUUUCUUUGAUCUACAGAACUUGCUUCUUUUCUCUGAAGUUUUCACAAUACAGCAUGAUAGAAGGAGCACAGAGUGCCAGAGGCAGGGAAUUCCUAUGCUUCACUAGUGACUCAUAAGAAAACUUAAUAGAAGGUCUCUACUGCCUGCUGGCCCUGCAGUACCUGAUUGAUGUGGUCCCAAACUAAAGUAGGCUAACCUUCAUUGAACCAAGCACUUCAGAGCCAUGGGAAGAAGUAUGGGGGAAGGAGUCCUUGUACUCUGGCAAUGAGGAAAACAAACAUUAACAGUGCAAGACACAGUGAGAGUCACAGAUCCAUGGAUGGACGAUCCUUUUGAGGACAAUAGAGGGGGAAUUUGGAUAAGUUUCCUGAGUGAGAAACCUUCCAGAUGGCAAUCUGAAAGUUAGCUGUUCCUUCUCAAAACACAGAGCUUUCUCAAGAGAAAGAUAACACCCUCUUUCAUCAGAGCGAGCGAGCUUUCUUCAUGGUGGCAAUUUCCAGUCUCCAGUGCAAGGAGGGGAAACUGAAGGAGAAUAAGGCGGUUACAUUCAGUUAGAGCCUGAGAGCAGAAUUUGGUUAGGCUGAAGCAGCUGGAAACUGUGGAAUGUAAUACCAGAGAGGAGACUGCCACACAAAGAACUCUAAAAAUUUUGAUUUUCAGCAAACCUUCAGAAGGCAAAAGGGAAAGUUUUCCCAUGGGCCAACGUGGAUAUGUUUCUGUAAUAGUCUGCUCAGCCUUCUACAACAAGAUGUCGCAGACUGGGUGACUUAAACCAGGGAUCCUCAAACCCUGGCAAUGGAUCGGUACGGGUCAGUGGCCUGUUAGGAAUCAGGCCACGUAGCAGGAGUCCAUAUUUGGAAUAACAACAAUAUAACACUCCUUUGGUAGUUAUAUUUUCUCACCUUCUUUACAGAAGAAGAAAUCCUUACUUAGAAAGGAAAAGAAUACCUCGAAAUUUGUCACUUUGGACUUCAAACAGAGCAGCUGAAGAGCAGCAAAGGCAGGGAAAGGGCUUUCUCUGAUCUACCCUUAACCGACUAAGACACUGUAUUAGGAUCUGGUGACAUAGUGGGAUAGAAGGACAAAGCCACGCUCUUAUGAAGCUUACAUUCUAGGAUAAUUCUUUGCCAUAAACAUAAACCAAACACUUCCACUAGAAAUGCUGACCAAUGCCUGGAUUCUCUGCUCAUUCUAGGGGAAACCAGCUGCCAUAUUAAGAAAACAGUCCUAUGGAAAGGGCCAUGGAACAAAGAAGUGACUUCUGCCAACAACCUCAUGAGUGAACCUAGAAGUGGCUCAUCUAGUCCUGGUCAAAUCUUAUGGACUGUGGCUCCAACUGAUAGUGUGACUGUAACUUCAUAAGAGACGCUGAACCAGACCACCCAAUAAGACACUCCCAGAUUCCCUACUCUCAAAAGUUGUGUGAAAUAAUCACCCCCAGUUGUAUUAAACUGCUAAGUUUUGGGGUAGUGUGUUACACAGCAAUAAAUCAUAAAUACAACAUCCAAGCAAUAAAUUUCUAUGAUAAAUACAUAUGAAGA